rnacentral:rRNA from 1 species
UGUUUCGGCUAGGGGGCCAUCCCGGCUUACCAACCCGAUGCAAACUGCGAAUACCGGAGAAUGUUAUCACGGGAGACACACGGCGGGUGCUAACGUCCGUCGUGAAGAGGGAAACAACCCAGACCGCCAGCUAAGGUCCCAAAGUCAUGGUUAAGUGGGAAACGAUGUGGGAAGGCCCAGACAGCCAGGAUGUUGGCUUAGAAGCAGCCAUCAUUUAAAGAAAGCGUAAUAGCUCACUGGUCGAGUCGGCCUGCGCGGAAGAUGUAACGGGGCUAAACCAUGCACCGAAGCUGCGGCAGCGACACUGUGUGUUGUUGGGUAGGGGAGCGUUCUGUAAGCCUGUGAAGGUGUGUCGUGAGGCAUGCUGGAGGUAUCAGAAGUGCGAAUGCUGACAUAAGUAACGAUAAAGCGGGUGAAAAGCCCGCUCGCCGGAAGACCAAGGGUUCCUGUCCAACGUUAAUCGGGGCAGGGUGAGUCGACCCCUAAGGCGAGGCCGAAAGGCGUAGUCGAUGGGAAACAGGUUAAUAUUCCUGUACUUGGUGUUACUGCGAAGGGGGGACGGAGAAGGCUAUGUUGGCCGGGCGACGGUUGUCCCGGUUUAAGCGUGUAGGCUGGUUUUCCAGGCAAAUCCGGAAAAUCAAG